rnacentral:rRNA from 1 species
UUAAGUCCCGCAACGAGCGCAACCCUUGCCUUUAGUUGCCAGCAGUUCGGCUGGGCACUCUAAAGGGACUGCCGGUGUUAAACCGGAGGGAAGGUGGGGGAUGACGUCAAGUCCUCAUGGCCUUUAUGACCAGGGCUACACACGUACUACAAUGGCCGAUACAAAGGGCAGCGACACUGCGAGGUGAAGCCAAUCCCGUAAAAUCGGUCUCAGUCCGGAUUGGAGUCUGCAACUCGACUCCAUGAAGUUGGAAUCGCUAGUAAUCGUGGAUCAGCAUGCCACGGUGAAUACGUUCCCGGGCCUU